CGUGGCCGUCCACCCCCCCUCGCAUCGGAUAAGCCCUUCUUCCCUCCAGAGAGGCAGAGAGAGACUCGAGUACUAGACUAGAGUCUCAACUCUUGAGCAGGGAAAACGAGAGAUCCUUGGAGUCAGCAAUGGAGUCUACCGCGCUAAUGACCGCGAGACUACCACUGCUGACCUCUGGCUCCCGUUCCAAACCCCUCCCCUUUGCUUCCUUCACCAGGGCGGCUUGCCGUCUCGCCUCCGCCCCCUUCUCCGGCAGCGGCAGCGUCGUCCUGCUGUCGCGCCGGAGCCGCGACUAUGCUGGCGUUGGUUCCUUGGUCUCCGCCGCGGCGGAUCCUGGGGAUACGGCGGACGCCGGAUCCGAGUCCAUCCUGCUCAGCGUCCAGGGGAUGAUGUGCGACGGGUGCGCCGCGAGCGUGAAGCGGAUCCUGGAGAGCCAAAACGGACUGUACACUAAGCGAAGCUACAUGGCCAAGUUUGAAAUCCAAAGGAUUGCCUCCCUGCAACAAUAAGAAAACAAAGAAGGAAAAAAGUUCAGAGCAAGGUACAGUGUCGGAUUAAGGAAAACAUGCUGUUUUUAGAUCUUUCCAACAUUCUCCGCAGUAACGUUUAGAGUUAGAUUACCAUAACCUUAGAAACUAGAUGACUGUGAGGAAUACGAGCAUAUAAGUAUUCUGGGCCACAUAUGCACUUCAAUCUGCACUUCAACAGAAGCAAGCAGAGAGAUUUGUCUUUCAAAAUCCACUUCAAUCUAUACUUAAGUGUUCUGGUCCACAUAUGCCUUCUGGUUCAAAAUCUGCUUUGGUUGAAAAAUCGAGCACCAUCUGCAGAUAAGUGUUCUGUCUGCCAGUUUUCGCAAAUUAAACGCAUGGUAAAACCUGACUGGUCUAUAAACAUGUGCCUGCAUUUUUUUUAAUGGAACCGACAUGCAGCAGGGAAGACCUCCCUCAUGACACAGCAGAAAACUAGCAACACCGACGGGAGCGGGAGUGCGCGCGGGCGACGACGGGAGGGCAGUUGGACGCGAUGAAGGGAAAUGGCGAGCCGUACUCCCUCGUCAAAGAUACCUAGCAAAGGGGAGCAGACGACGAGCUGGAUAGAGAAGAUAUAUAGAAAGCGAGCCUGUUGGAUACGAUUUUAACAUGCUUUUCUAUUUUUUACCGAUUCUUAUUAGUUUAGCGAGGUUGUUGGAGUUGUUCUAAACAAGACAGAGACAUACCAUGUUGCAUGUAUUUGUUUUGCUUAGUAUGCACGAUACAGUUGAAGAUGAUACAAAACUUUUGUGGUGCUCAUAUAGGAGAACUUUUUAUUUAUCUAUUCAUGGAUUGUUUCCUAUAUUUGCAUCCACAUCGGUCUGUACUGAUCUGAUUAAAUAAGUCAAGGUUUUUUUUCAUUUCUUUUAGUGUUACUUUUAAUUUGCUUUCACUUAUAAAUGGACGCUUUUGCAGCCCGAGGUUACUUCUGCUACCGUUGAUUUUAAGGAAGCAAGCGCAGUCGUGUGGACAACAGAUGAGGCCAAGGGGACACAAGGUUGGCAGAAGCAGUAUGGAGAGAAGCUUGCUAAGCACCUUGGCACUUGCGGAUUUGAGUCUCGCCUACAAGAUGAUCAACGAACGAUCACGUGAAGUUACAUGCUAGAAGCCAAAGGUAACGCUACAAGAAAGUGAUCAUUACAGCCGUAGAAAGAGAAAAUGUGAUAAAGUUUUUUUUCUCUCGAACGUACAAGAAAACUACUGACUCAUUAUAUUAAGAUAGGAAAAUGUGACAAAGUUCAUGUGCUCUUCAAUCUUUCAGCUAUGUGCAAACGAUGAUACAGUUAUUAAAGUUGACUAUAAAGUGGAAACUGCCAUGAGAAAACGUCUAGCUCCGGAUCCAGAUGUUUUUUUUUUCACGAGAAGAGAUAAAGAUGUGUGUGUUUUUUUGCUGGAUUUGGUUUAGUGUACAAGAUGGAUCUAAAUGGAAUCAGCAUUUGGUCAUAAAAUGAUGAGUACCGCUUACUUAAAUCAACAAUGCAAAUUGCUCUUGAAAAUACGCAAAACUGAUUUUUAUUCUGUAUAUGAUGUUGAGGAUGUCUGAGGCAUAGUU